UAGAUAUGAUGAAUUCAUGCAUCAUAUCUGGGCAUUGGGGCUCCAGUGGGCAACAGAUAACUACUUUCCUUUAGUUAAUAAAGUGCCCAGAAGAUGGUCGAGAGGCAAACCUUUUUUUAAAAGCUCUGCUCUGUUUAACACCACUGAUCACUUUGCUUCUUUUGCAGGUGUCCUCAGACCCUGGAAAUCCAAAAUGCAAAUGAAGAAGAAAUCAGGAGGUGUAAACACUGAAGGGAAUGAAUGUUUUCUGAAAUCCAGGCAGAAGGUACAACUGCUUCUAAGUCUCUGGAAGGUUCCAGUGUCCCAGGAGUUCCACAUGCACUCUAAGAUGAUUAUACCACUUUGCUACCAGCUUGCAGUAUUUUCAGUGCUGCAGAAAAGAGUUGCUGCACGAUGAGGAUUUCUGGCGAUGAGAAGCAGAGCUCAUCACUGGCAGGUUAGAUUCUGAAUCAUGGCCUACUAACUAAACCCCGGAGUGCCACACCUUGGAAACACAGAAGACAGAAGUCUCAGUGCGUCAUUUUUCUAGUUGCUUUCAAGGUAUCAUUAAGUGCUGCCUAAGAGUACCCUUCUAGUGCAAAAUGUGUUGUUCAGGAUUCUGUCCAGAUGCUGUUGGGCUGCUUCAAGGAGACUUCAAAUGGUCCUACUAGUGAGCCACCUUAUCGACCUUCACUCUGACAUUUGGCUUGGCUGCGUUUGAAGUGGUCCCAUGAGUGAGUCAUCUUACCGACCUUCACUUUGCCAUUUGGCUCGACUGCAUAUCAGAUGUUGUUGAAACCAAAACUAGUGGAUCCCUCUUCUUUCCAGGGAAGACUACAUUUUAGAAAUCUCCACAAUUACAACUUUAAACUGAAGCCAGAAAAUACAUUUUUUUGAAACUAAUCAGUCAGCAGAUCACCUGUCAUCCAACUGUGUGCCAUAUACAUAUAAUUUCAAGAAACAUUGGCCAUCAAGUACUUAAAAUUUUAGGGAUUUGGGCAACACCCAAUGCAGAACAGAUGAAUUUCAUGGUUUCUUUAUGCAUUUGCACAAAUUAAAAUAUAAGUCUUCACUUGGUUCGUUUGAACCCCUUUCUUCAAUUAGCUCUGUAUGCAGAGAAGGCCAGACAGCAGUUUUCAGAGAGCAAUCAAGAUUCUUCUGCAUGUUGUUACCUCUGUGUGUGAACGCCACUCUGACAGGGCAAAUUCUUGGAUUAAAAGUUGAUUGUACUCUAGCAGUUCUUCUUAUAACUGGUUUUGUAAACACAAAUGUUCAAAAUCACAAAAACUCUUUUCAAACAGUUAUUUUCUUUUCAGAUACAAGAACAGUAGGUAUAAGCUUCCCAAAGGUAGAUCUUACAUCCAAAUAAUACGUGUGUGUGUGUGUGUGUGUGUGUGUGUAUGCGUGUAUGCGUGUAUGCUUGUGUGUAUGUAUGUAUGUAUGUAUGUAUGUAUGUAUGUACGUAUGUAUGUAUGUAUGUAUGUGUGUGUGUUUAUGGAGCUAUAGGUUGAUUGACCUUAGUUGUCUUCCUUGAUUCCUCUCUAUCUUACUUUUUGAGACAGGAUCUCUCACUGAACCUGGAAUUUGUUGACUUAGUUAAUCUGGCUAGCCAGCAAAUCCCAGAGAUUCUCCUACAUCGGCCUUUUGGGUCCCAGGAUUACUGGUGCUCACCAGUAAUCUAUGUAGACCCCAGGGUUCCAAACUCCAGUUCUCAUGCUUGUAUGGCAUCUGAGCUAUCUUCCCAGCCCCUGGCCUAUCAUAUUUUAAAAAACGAUUCCAAUUACAAUAUUUUAAUUUCAUAGUUUGAACAGCCUUUAAAGGAGUUACUGAUUUCACAGUAAAACUUUUGCAACCUGCAGCAAAUCAGUGAAGUAAAUCAGGCUUGGAAGACUGAAUAGGUGAUAACUUAAAUAGCAAUAAAUUUCUGGUCUUCUAACCCUAGAUGAAUAUUCUACUUUCCUUUCUUAUUAGCAUUUGAGAGCUCAUGAUAUUUGUUUGUUGGAGAUUUUCAGGGCCAAAGUAUAAGCUACAUUGUAACACAAAAAUAAAAGACCCAGAGACUGAUAUUGGGGUUCAAGCUUCAAGCUGAAGAGGAGUGAAGCCAAGUACCCAAGCCAGUAGAUCUUACCUCUACCCAGCUGAAAUGGCAAUUCUGUCUCCACGAAUCCUCAGAGGCAAAAGGCUCUCAGUUCCUCCUCCUCCUUAUAUUCCUUUCUCUGCCCAGCCAUAUCACUCCUGUCUCCACCUCCCUAAUGCUGGGAUUAAAGGUGCAUGUCCCAGGUGCUGAGAUCACCUUUGUGUGAGCUGUUUCUUUUAGGACUGGAUCAAUUUCGUGUACUCGGUGUGGCCUUGAUCUAACAGAGAUCUGUCUACCUCUUAAUCCUGAGUCCUGGGAUUAAAGGUGUGUACCAUCACCGCCUGGCUUCUAUAGCUAACUUGAGUGGCUACUUUGCUAUUUUGAUCUCCAGAGGCUUUAAUAAAUCAUAAACAGUAUAUCACCACACUACAUUUUCCCUUCCCUCACUUUGUCUGGAUAAUCACCUCUUUUGUUUACAUAUCUAUUCAAAUAUGCAUUAGAGAUAUAAUUACUGUCAUAGAAAGAUGGCACAAUAGGUAAAGCACUUGUUUCCGAGCCUGAGGACCUCAAUCCACAUGAGGGAAGGAGAGAACUGACUCCUGGAAGUUGUCCACUGACCUCCUGACACACACCACUGUGGCACUUGCACAACCACCCCCCCCACACAUACACACAAUAGAUGAAUAAAAGCACAUAAAACCAUAAUUGGCUAAAGAAACUACAUUUUCAUUUAUUUGAAGAAGAUUAAUUGGGCAUGUAGGUGUCUGUUUACGAGGCAGCCAGCUGCCAAUUGAAAGAAGAUCAGCCUGCUGCUUUUGGCAAUCCCAAUUCUAUUGAAACCCUGCUG
ensembl:lincRNA